rnacentral:rRNA from 1 species
CUGGCUCAGGAUGAACGCUAGCUACAGGCUUAACACAUGCAAGUCGAGGGGCAGCAUGAUCGAAGCUUGCUUUGAUUGAUGGCGACCGGCGCACGGGUGAGUAACGCGUAUCCAACCUUCCCUAUAGUAGAGAAUAGCCCGGCGAAAGUCGGAUUAAUGCUCUAUGUUGUAUUUAGAGGACAUCUGAAGAAUACCAAAGGUUUACCGCUAUAGGAUGGGGAUGCGUCUGAUUAGGUAGUAGGCGGGGUAACGGCCCACCUAGCCGACGAUCAGUAGGGGUUCUGAGAGGAAGGUCCCCCACAUUGGAACUGAGACA